rnacentral:rRNA from 1 species
UACGGGGGGGGCAAGCGUUGUUCGGAAUUACUGGGCGUAAAGGGCUCGUAGGCGGCCAACUAAGUCAGACGUGAAAUCCCUCGGCUUAACCGGGGAACUGCGUCUGAUACUGGAUGGCUUGAGAUUGGGAGAGGGAUGCGGAAUUCCCGGUGUAGCGGUGAAAUGCGCAGAUAUCGGGAGGAACACCUGAGGUGAAGACGGGUUGCUGGGCUGACACUGACGCUGACAGCGCGAAAGCUAGGGGAGCAAACGGG